UGCCCCAGUAACGGCGAGUGAAGCGGCAACAGCUCAAAUUUGAAAUCUGGCCUCGGCCCGAGUUGUAAUUUGCAGAGGAUGCUUCUGGCGAGGCACCGACCGAGUCCCCUGGAACGGGGCGCCAUAGAGGGUGAGAGCCCCGUAUGGUCGGACGCCUAGCCUGUGUGAAGCUCCUUCGACGAGUCGAGUAGUUUGGGAAUGCUGCUCAAAAUGGGAGGUAAAUUUCUUCUAAAGCUAAAUACCGGCCAGAGACCGAUAGCGCACAAGUAGAGUGAUCGAAAGAUGAAAAGCACUUUGAAAAGAGGGUUAAAUAGCACGUGAAAUUGUUGAAAGGGAAGCGCUUGUGACCAGACUUGCGCCUGGCCGAUCAUCCGGGGUUCUCCCCGGUGCACUCGGCCAGGCUCAGGCCAGCAUCGGUUCUCUCGGGGGGACAAAGGCUCCGGGAACGUAGCUCCCUCCGGGGAGUGUUAUAGCCCGGGGCGUAAUGCCCUCGAGGGGACCGAGGACCGCGCUUCGGCAAGGAUGCUGGCGUUACGGUCAUCAGCGACCCGUCUUGAAACACGGACCAAGGAGUCAAGGUUUUGCGCGAGUGUUUGGGUGUAAAACCCGCACGCGUAAUGAAAGUAAACGUAGGUGAGAGCUUCGGCGCAUCAUCGACCGGCCCAGAUGUUCUCGGAAGGGCCUGAGUAGGAGCGUUAAGCCUUGGACCCGAAAGAUGGUGAACUAUGCUUGGAUAGGGUGAAGCCAGAGGAAACUCUGGUGGAGGCUCGCAGCGGUUCUGACGUGCAAAUCGAUCGUCAAAUCUGAGCAU
rnacentral:rRNA from 1 species